AUGUAUUUUAAAAUCGCAAUCGUAACGUUUUGCCUAAUUUUAAAAAUAGAAGGAGGUUCUACGGUCCAGCCAUACAAUGUAAAGGAUUUUUUAUCUUCUCGUAUAGUCGGGGGUAUAGAAGCCUCUCCUAGAUACGUCAAGCAGAUGCCCUGGUGUUUGGCGAAAGAUUUAAAUGGUUGACUUGUGGUGGAUCUAUUAUUACGCCAAGACACGUUCUGACUGCCGCCCAUUGUAUUGAUCCUUACAUCGAUCGUUGGAGCCCAACAGGACUUAAUCCAUCAUUACGAGGUUCAAUUGGUUCAAAGUACUGGGUUUCUACUAAGUACAUCAUCGAUUUUCAAGGAUUCGUCAACCAUCCUAAAUGGAAUUCAUUUACGAUUAAAAAUGAUAUUGGCAUACUGAUAACAAAGAGAGAGAUACAGUACAAUGAUGUCAUCCAACCCAUAGCGUUGAGUUUGAAGUUUAUAGACCGUUCAGUGACAAGUUUUGUCACCGGUUGGGGUGAUUUGGAGGUGUUUGGACAGACACCUGAUCGUCUACAGAUGUUAAUUACCAGCACUAUAACAUCUGAGCAGUGUGUGGCAUCAGUGAGGAAUUAUACCAGCGGCACAGGAGUAGCUGCACCUCCUUAUGAUCCCAAAACAGAGAUUUGCACCUUACUUUCUAAGGGUCAUGGGAUGUGUCAUGGAGAUUCCGGCAGUGCUUUGAUGACCUACUAUGGACUUCGUACGCAAAUUGGUAUUGUGUCUUGGGGUUUCCCGUGCGCACGCGGCGCUCCUGACUUUUUUACAAGAGUUAGCGCAUUUACUGAUUUUAUUUACGAUGUUGUGAGGCCAUUUUCAUUGCAAAUUCAAUAA